CUUGACAUUGAUAGAAUCCUGUAGAGAUACGGGAGUGCCGGCUUGCCGGAACUUGAAAACAGGUGCUGCACGGCUGUCGUCAGCUCGUGUCGUGAGAUGUUGGGUUAAGUCCCGCAACGAGCGCAACCCACGUCAUUAGUUGCCAGCAUUUCGGAUGGGAACUCUAAGGAGACUGCCUUCGCAAGGAGGAGGAAGGUGUGGACGACGUCAAGUCAUCAUGGCCCUUACGGCCAGGGCUACACACGUGCUACAAUGGGGCGUACAAAGAGCAGCAAUACCGCGAGGUGGAGCAAAUCUCAAAAACGCCUCCCAGUUCAGAUUGCACUCUGCAACUCGAGUGCAUGAAGUUGGAAUCGCUAGUAAUCGUAGAUCAGCAUUGCUACGGUGAAUACGUUCCCGGGUCUUGUACUCACCGCCCGUCACACCAUGGGAGUUGAUUUCACCCGAAGCGGGGAUGNUAAAGUAGCUACCUUUCACGUGGAAUCAGCGACUGGGGUGA
rnacentral:rRNA from 1 species